GACGAACGCUGGCGGCGUGCCUAAUACAUGCAAGUAGAACGCACAGUUUAUACCGUAGCUUGCUACACCAUAGACUGUGAGUUGCGAACGGGUGAGUAACGCGUAGGUAACCUGCCUGGUAGCGGGGGAUAACUAUUGGAAACGAUAGCUAAUACCGCAUAAUAUUAAUUAUUGCAUGAUAAUUAAUUGAAAGGUGCAAUUGCACCACUACCAGAUGGACCUGCGUUGUAUUAGCUAGUAGGUGAGGUAACGGCUCACCUAGGCGACGAUACAUAGCCGACCUGGGAGGGUGAACGGCCACACUGGGAACGAGACACCGCCCAGGAUCCUAAGGGAGGCAGCAAGAGGGAAUCUUCGGCAAUGGGCGAAAGGCUGACCGAGCAACGCCGCGGGAGGGAAGAAGGGUUUCGGAUCGGAAAGCUCCGUUGUAAGAGAAGAACGGGUGUUAGAGGGAAAAGUGCACACUGUGACGGUACCUUACCAGAAAGGGACGGCUAACUACGUG
rnacentral:rRNA from 1 species